rnacentral:rRNA from 1 species
UACGGGGGGGGCAAGCGCUGUUCGGAAUUACUGGGCGUAAAGGGCUCGUAGGCGGCCAACUAAGUCGGAUGUGAAAUCCCCAGGCUUAACCUGGAAACUGCAUCCGAUACUGGAUGGCUUGAAUCCGGGAGAGGGAUGCGGAAUUCCAGGUGUAGCGGUGAAAUGCGUAGAUAUCUGGAGGAGCACCGGUGGCGAAGGCGGCAUCCUGGACCGGCAUUGACGCUGAGGAGCGAAAGCCAGGGGAGCAAACGGG